UACAGAGGGUGCGAGCGUUGUCCGGAAUCACUGGGCGUAAAGGGCGCGUAGGCGGUCUGCUAAGCGUGUGGUGAAAGCUCGGGGCUCAACCCCGAGUCGGCCGUGCGAACUGGUGGACUGGAGCAUGUCAGAGGCAGGCGGAAUUCCGGGUGUAGCGGUGGAAUGCGUAGAGAUCCGGAAGAACACCGGUGGCGAAGGCGGCCGGCUGGGACAUGGCUGACGUUGAGGCGCGACAGCGUGGGGAGCAACAGG
rnacentral:rRNA from 1 species